GACGAACGCUGGCGGCGUGCUUAACACAUGCAAGUCGAACGGAAAGGCCUCAGCUUGCUGGGGUACUCGAGUGGCGAACGGGUGAGUAACGCGUGGGUGAUCUGCCUUGCACUCUGGGAUAAGCUUGGGAAACUGGGUCUAAUACCGGAUAUGAACUGCCCUUAGUGUGGAGGUUGGAAAGUUUUUUCGGUGCAGGAUGAGCUCGCGGCCUAUCAGCUUGUUGUUGGGGUAAUGGCCUACCAAGGCGUCGACGGGUAGCCGGCCUGAGAGAGUGUACGGCCACAUUGAGACUGAGAGACGGCCGAGACGCCUACGGGAGGCAGCAGGGGGGAAUAUUGCACAAUGGGCGGCAGCCUGAUGCAGCGGCGCCGCGUGGGGGAUGACGGUCUUCGGGUGGUAGAAUCCUUGCGACAGGGACGAAGCUUUUUGUGACGGUACCUGUAUAAGAAGCACCGGCUAACUACGUG
rnacentral:rRNA from 1 species